AGUAGUAUAUGCUUGCUCAAAGAUUAAGCCAUGCUGUGUAAGUAUGAACUAAUUCAGACUGUGAACUGCGAUGGCUCAUUAAAUCAGUUUAGUUGUUUUGAUGGUAUCUGCUACUCGGAUUAACCGUAGUAAUUCUAGAGCUAAUAAGUGCAACAACCCCGACUUCUGGAAGGAUUGCAUUUAUUAGAUAAAAGUCGACGGCCGGGGCUCUGCCCGUUGCUCGAUGAUUCAUGAUAACUCGACCGGAUCUGCACGGCCAUCGUGUGCGGGACGCAUCAUUCAAAUUUCUGCCCUAUGAACUUUCGAUGGUAGGAAAGAGGCCUACCAUGGUGGUGACGUGGUGACGGAGGAUUAGGGUAUCGAUUCCGGAGAGGGAGCCUGAGAAACGGCUACCACAUCCAAGGAAGCAGCAGCUGCGCCGCAAAUUACCAAUCCUGACACCGGGAGGUAGUGACAAUAAAUAACAAUACCGGCUCUUUCGGAAGUCUGUAAUUGGAAUGAGUAAAUCUAAAUCCCCCUUAACGAGGAUCCAUUGGAGGCAGUCUGCGUGCCAGCAAGCCGCGGGUAAAUUCCAGCUCCAAAUACGCUUAUAUUUAAAGUUGUGCCAUAAAAAGCUCGUAGUUGGACCUUGGGCUUGGGUCGACCGGUCCGCCUCGCGGUGUGCACCUCUCGGCUCGUCCCUCUCUGCGGCGAUGCGUCCUGGCCUUAACUGGCCGGUCGUGCCUCCGGCGCUGUUACUUGAAGGAAAUGUAGAGUGCUCAAAGCAAGCCUACGCUCUGGAUACAUUAGGCAUGGGAUACAUCAUAGGAUUUCGCGUUCCUAUCUGUGUUGGCCUUCGGGGAUCGAGUUAAUUGAUUUAACAGGGACAGUCGGGGCAUUCGUAUUUCAUAGUCAGAGGUGAAAAUUUCUUGGGAUUUAUGAAAGACGAAACAACUGCGAAGCAUUGCCAAGGGAUUGUUUUUCAUUUAAUCAAGACGAAGUUGGGGGGCUCGAGACGAUCAGAUACCGUCCUAGGUCUCAACCUAAACGAGUGCCGACCAGCGAUCGGCGGAUGUUGCUUUUCAGGACUCCGCCGGCACCUUAUGAGAAAUCAAAAGUCUUUGGGUUCCGGGGGGAGUAUGGUCGCAAGGCUGAAACUUAAAGGACAUUGACGGAGGGGCACCACCAGGAGUGGAGCCUGCGGGCUUAAUUUCCGACUCAACACGGGGAAACUUACCAGCGCGUCCACGACUAGUAAGGAUUGACAGACUGAGAAGCGGCUUCUUGAUUCUAUGCGUGGUGGUGCAUGGCCGUUACUUAGUUGGUGGAGCGAUUUGUCUGGUUAAUUCCGGUUAACGAACGACCGACUCAGCCUGCUAACUAGCCUAUGCGGAGGUGACCCCCGCGGCCAAGCUUUCUUGAGAGGGACUAUGGCCUUUUAGGCCAAGGAAGUUGAGGCAAUAACAGGUGGCUGUGAUGCCUAGAUGUUCUGGGCCGACGCGCGCUACACUGAUGUAAUUCAACGAGUCUAUAGCCUUGGCCGACAGGCCCGGUAAUCUUUGAAAUUUCAUCUGAUGGGGGAUUUAGAUCAUUGCAAUUGGUUGCGUCUUCAACGGAGAGAAUUUCCUAGUUAGAGGCGCGAGUCAUCAGCUCGCGUUGAUACGUCCCUGCCCUUUGUUACACACCGGCCCGUCGCCUCCUACCGAUGAUGGCCGGUGAAGUGUUCGGAUCGCGGCGACGUGAGGCGGUUCGCCGCCGGCGACGUCGCGAGAAGUCACUGAAACCCUUUAUCAUUUCAGAAGGAAGGGAGAAGUCGCAACAAAGGUUUCCGUUAGGUGAACCUGCGGAAG
rnacentral:rRNA from 1 species